AGCUCCAAAGCGUAUAUUAAAGUUGUUGCAGUUAAACGCUCGUAGUCGGGUUUCGGGUCGGGCCGAGCGGUCUGCCGAUGGGUAUGCACUGUUUGGCGCGGCCUUCUUUCCGGAGACCGCGGCUACUCUUAACUGAGCGGGCGUGGGAGACGGAUCGUUUACUUUGAAAAAUCAGAGUGUUUCAAGCAGGCAGCUCGCUCUUGCAUGGUACAGCAUGGGAUGAUAGAAUAGGACUCCGGUGCUAUUUGUUGGUUUUGAACACCAGGAGUAAUGAUUAACAGGGACAGUCAGGGGCACUCGUAUUACGGUGUUAGAGGUGAAAUUCUUGGAUCGCCGUAAGACGAACGAGAGCGAAAGCAUUUGCCAAGAAUGUUUUCA
rnacentral:rRNA from 1 species